AAGUCGUAACAAGGUUUCCGUAGGUGAACCUGCGGAAGGAUCAUUAACACGUUAGCUCCCGAAAGGGGGCUCUCGUAUUACAAACAACGCGAACUAGAUAAUCUCCCUGGUUGGUUGUGAGGUGUUAGGGUUGCUUAGGUGGAUAGCAUUCGUGCUAUAGCAGCCUUAACUACGAGUCUUUGAACUCAGCCUUACAGCUUAGCUAGGUGUAAUAAAUCCAUAUAUCUCCUUCUGCCUUAGGAGGUAUAUGGGGGUCCUAUUAACCAUUUAGGGCCCGUGUAUUCAUUUAAACUACGUUUAAUAUAGUUCUUAUUCAAAAGCUUACUGGCAUUGAUUCGCUCGCAAGGGCUCGAGUCUGCCGGUUGCUUCACUUAUGAAACGAUACAACUCUUACCAAUGGAUGUCUUGGUUCCCAU
rnacentral:misc_RNA from 1 species